UGGAAAUGAUGAAAUAGAGAUAAUUGGGUGUUAAAUGUUGUAUGAUUAGAAAAUUUUAAUAUCUAAGUUAAGUAAUCUUAAGUUUAAUAUUUUUUAACUAUCUGAUAGUGUGUGUAUGUGUGUGUGCAUGUGUGUGUGCUUGUGGAGGCUAUGAAAAGGGGGCACUGACUGGUGAUGCUGAUACUGGAGUGCAUCUGAGGCUGUUGUAGAAGUGCAUGGGUUGUUGAUUACAACAUUGCCUAUGAUUAUAGCCCAGGAGCAGCUCACCUAAGUAGCCUAGCACCCUAAAAUCUCUGACAGGUUCACUAAACGUGGUCCUGUGAUCUGAUCCAA
ensembl:scaRNA SCARNA7 small Cajal body-specific RNA 7